UACGUAGGGUGCAAGCGUUAAUCGGAAUUGCUGGGCGUAAAGCGUGCGCAGGCGGUUUUGUAAGUCUGUCGUGAAAGCCCCGGGCUCAACCUGGGAAUUGCGAUGGAGACUGCAAGGCUUGAAUCUGGCAGAGGGGGGUAGAAUUCCACGUGUAGCAGUGAAAUGCGUAGAGAUGUGGAGGAACACCGAUGGCGAAGGCAGCCCCCUGGGUCAAGAUUGACGCUCAUGCACGAAAGCGUGGGGAGCAAACAGG
rnacentral:rRNA from 1 species